rnacentral:rRNA from 1 species
GACGAACGCUGGCGGCGUGCUUAACACAUGCAAGUCGAACGGAAAGGCCCUGUUUGCGGGGUACUCGAGUGGCGAACGGGUGAGUAACACGUGGGUGAUGUGCCCUGCACUUCGGGAUAAGCAUGGGAAAGUGGGUAUUAUACAGAAUAGGAACCAUCUUUAGUGUGGGGGUUGGAAGGUUUUUUCGGUGUAGGAUGAGCUCGCGGCCUAUCAGCUUGUUGGUGGGGUAAUGGCCUACCAAGGCGGCGACGGGUAGCCGGCCUGAGAGGGUGUACGGCCACAUUGGGACUGAGAUACGGCCCAGACUCCUACGGGAGGCAGCAGUGGGGAAUAUUGCACAAUGGGCGCAAGCCUGAUGCAGCGACGCCGCGUGGGGGAUGAAGGCCUUCGGGUUGUAAACUCCUUUCGGUAGGGACGAAGCUUUUUGUGACGGUACCUAGAUAAGAAGCACCGGCUAACUACGUG